GGCCGGAUGGCAGAGUGGUGAUGCAGCGGACUGCAAAUCCGCGAACGUCGGUUCAAUUCCGGCUCCGGCCUCCA
rnacentral:tRNA from 5 species